UACGUAGGGGGCGAGCGUUAUCCGGAUUUACUGGGCGUAAAGCGCGUUAAGGCGGUUGGCAAAGUUGGUUGUGAAAUCUCAGGGCUCAACCCUGAAAUUGCGACCAAUACUGAUCGACUAGAGUGUGAGAGAGGAAGGUGGAAUUCCCGGUGUAGUAGUGAAAUGCGUAGAUAUCGGGAGGAACACCAGUGGCGAAGGCGGCCUUCUGGCUCAUAACUGACGCUGUAGCGCGAAAGCGUGGGGAGCGAACCGG
rnacentral:rRNA from 1 species